GCAGACACACUCUGUUCUUUGCUGUUGACUCCAGCUCAGGACUUUUUCUGUCUGCUACAGAAACAUGCAGAAUGGAAAACACGACUGCUUUGAUGAAAAGCUGGUCUUUUUUUUUAUUCUGCUACAUCAUG